AACUACAAAGCUAUGUGAUGCUUAAGGUAGGCAUGCCCAUGGUGUAGGCCUCUGAGCUGAAGUACCUUGUUUGUUUCUUGACAAAUUCCCACAUGACUUUUUGCAGUUGUCUCCAGGCAGGAUGCAAAAUCAGGAGAUUUAUCGACCCCCUAGUAGAUCACCAUCCAUGGCUAGUAGGUUGUAUGUAGCUUAGUAUUUAUUCCUGGUACAAGCAACUAUUGCAAAAGAUCUCUAAAUUUUUAAUUCUGUGGUCCAAAACCUGCUCUAGCCAUGCACACAUUCUAGUAGUCUAGAUGAAGUUUUCUAUUCCCAUCCACAGCAAAAGACUAAUGCAAUCAAUGAUUUGGAGCCCAAAUGAGUACUAAAAUACAGAUCAUGAUGUCCAUCUAUGUGUCUGUAUAUGCAUUCCUGUUACCUGUACAUCUAGAGGAUCUUGCUUUCAUGUAUGAAUCUACCUUGGGAUCUCUGGGGGUGUCUGAGCACAGAUGUAAGGGCUUUUUCCUUUCUGAUGCUGUUUCUGAUGCUGACACACAUCAUUUGGUGAACCCUGGAAUAGCUUCAAUUUGGUCCUUGUAAAAAUAAAGGACAACUUAAUUGCAUCAGUCUUUUGCAAUUGCAUAGGUACAAUUUGUUGUUCAACGUGUGUUUCGCUGUACCAGUUGUGAUGAGGGUUGACUGUUUUCUGCAGAUUUGUUUUCAUCCACCAAAACAGAAAACAACCCAUGAACAGCCAUUAGACUACAGGUUAUCCUUAAGCCAUUGGCUAAGGAGGAAAUAAAAUAUGGCUGAAAUGUUCCCUGUCCAAAUUCACAUUCCUAAAAUUGGACUAUCAACUAAUUGUCGAUUUAUAAUUCAUGCUAACACAUAAACCAAAAUUUAAAUCUAUAUACACAUAUUUUUAAAAAUGGAAUACAUGUUAACAGAAAAAUAAAAAGUAGCUCUUAUUUUUACUUUAAAAAAGGUAGAUAUAGUACAUGUGGAGUGCAUGUAUAUCCACCAUGACAGCAACUCUCGAUAAACAUUCAAGAUGAGCCAUAAAACUACAAGAUUAGGAUGCUUUUAAAUGUGGAAACUGAGAUCAAAAAGAAAAUCCCAAUGUUAAGUACACAAAAGCACUCAUAUCUGCUCAGAAUGCAUUACUCAGUCAUAGUAAGCUACCCACUUUAGAUUUCAUGAUUACCUGGAAAAUGCUUUGCAGCUUUCACUCUGCAGAUACAGCUCCUAAAAUAUUCUGUCAUUCAUGUAUUGUGGGAAACAAGUUAGGAAAUGCUUAAGAGCCUUUCAACAGUGUUGAAAAUCAGUUGGGAGGCUUAAUGUUCAGGACCAUGUCUCAACAUCAAAAGAAGCAGUGGUGACAAAUAAAAAGCACGAUUUGGGAGAUGGUGAUGAUUCACAUAUCAUUAAUGUGCUGAUAAUUAAUACCUGAUUUAUACAAGAAUUCAAGGAAAUAAGAAUAAAAUAACCUUGAUUGAUAUCUGUUAGCUCGGUAACUGUUAAACAUGGCAAAUAUUAGCAAAAGCUUCCCAUAAUCUCAGAUGUGUUCAAAUGCUAAUUACAUAACAAGAAAAAUGCAGUUUGUGCUUAUACUGUAUACUUCCAAAAGAGAAGAAAAUGGGGUUCAAAUGACCCUCUCCCCCACUGCAAGAGUGCAUGAAGGGGAGUUGUGGGGGCACAUGGACUAGUCCUGAACCUGCUGGAGAUUUGGGGGGCAGUCUACCCUAGAGGUUCCCAGAGCGUAGACAACAGAACCUAGUCUAUCCCUGUACGCAUAGGGUCAUAGCUGGGCAACUGGUUGAAGCUGACGGAGACAGUUACCACAGUAAUCACAAGUCGUGCACCUGUUCCUUUAGAGGGAGUACAGUCCUAAGCACGGGAGAAAUUUUUUGUACUGGACAAUAUUUGGGAUGCCAGAAACAGAGGCUACAAUCAGGUGUGGGGUUCUUUCUGUUACUUUUAUUGAUUAUAAUGCUAGCAUUUCUGUCCCGAUUUUCUAACAUUCCUUUCACAUUGCAGUACCUGUUGUUUUAUGGAACAGUGGCUUCUUGACCUAUAUACCUCCCUGUAUCUCUAAAUUUUAUUCACACCAGUGGGUGUGGUAUGACACGACAAUGAACAUUACUGGACAUAUCCCACCCUUUCUGCACAUGCACACUUCCUAUUCCCCCAUGAAAAUGUGGGGAAAGAGUCAUAAGCCAUAUCCCACCCCCCCAAAUUUCAUCACUUUUUACUCCCACAUUAUUCUGGGUUAAUGAUGUUGCAAAUGGAUUUUUUUUCUGGAAGCAAUUAACAUAGUGCUAAAUUUCCUCCAUAUUCUGCUAGAUUUCCGGAAGUAGUUUUUGUGUCAUGUGAAAGAUAAAAGAAAAGGUGGAAUUUAUCAGGUAAGGAAACAUCAAGAAAAUGGAAUAAUCUACAAUCUGAAUAGAGCCAGACAAACCAAGGACAAACCAAACCAAGGACAAAAUGGAAGGCAAGCAGUCAACUGACUUGCACUGCCAGUAACAGGUCCUGUUGGUACAUUAAGCAGUACAUUAAUUGACAUAUGAUAUGAUGCAAUUUUCUCAAUAAAUGGGCCACCUUUUACAACAAACCUUCCAAUAAUCGGAGAUUAAAGGAUUAAAGGGAUUAGAGAGAGAAGUCUAUUCUUUAGCAUAAUUGGGAUCUGUCUGGGCAGUCAUGGUUAUGUGAUGAGGUUGGUUGUUUAGCAGGGUAAGCAAAGAGAAUUCACUAGCGAUGAGGACCUUGUAAAGCUGUAGGUUAGAGGAUAAAGGAGAAUUUCAAUAGUGGAAAGUUAAUGAAGGCCUUUCAGAGUUGUUGUUGUUGUUAAAUGAGACUGUCAUGCAUUCUCCAUGAAAGAAGAACAUAUUUAUGUUUGAAAGCUUGCCUUUCAUAAUAUAUGUAUUUGGAUCUAGACCAAAAUGCAAGACACAUAUGUUCCAUCAAUUAUGCAUCACUUUGCAUAUUACCUAGAUCCAAACAUGCUUGCCACCAAAUGUAUGGAAGCUGUGACCAAUCCAGGUUACCUUUUCUAAUUUGCGUGAGUGCAUAAAGAGAGUGGUGACCAAAUCGGUUCUGAACAGGUAAAAUGCAUUUGGAAAGACUGGUUUUAAAUGUACCAACAGUAGGUCAGUGAAUGCAUUUUACUUUAUGAAAGAAAAAAUAGUACAUAAAUAAAUAUUGGGGAAUGAAAAAUCUAAGAAAGCAUAAAGUGCCUAAUACAUUCAAGGAUUACAAUAUUCAGUGAUAACUGCAGCAACCAUUGCAGAAUCCAACAUUGGCCUACCUACAUUCUACCAGCCCUCUAGUUAAAGCUAACUACAUAAUACUCUCAGCUAGGCUAACGGCAUGGCAUUUCAGUUUAACAGAAGGCCAUAGCUACCAAUACAGAGUGAAUUUCCAAGAAACAAGCUCCUGUAGACUUAUUACUAGAGAUCGGUCUGGUGGCCAGGAUAUAGGAAACAGGAAUAUCCAAACCUAAAAUGAUCUUAGGUAAAAAAAUUAAGAAAAGUGUUCCCAAAGAGGGAAAAGGGGGAAAUAAACACACAAGCCUCAUCUCUUUAUGUUUGUUCAUGAGCCAAAAUUCAGCCCCAAGGAGCUAGGCUCAGAGGAAGAUGGCCCCAAACAGCUUCAAACCUGAAGAAGGGCUCUCAACAAGAAGACAACAGACCCCAGAACAAACAGAAUCUGAAAAAGCCUUAGAGCUAAACAAUAAAAAAUUGAAGAAGUGAGCUCCAUGGUGCAGUCUCUUUGUAUCCCUAUAUACCUCCAAAAUUUCCUAUCUUUUGAGUCACUCCUUUGUCUCAUGGCUCCCUCCACUCUUUCAUGCUAAAAUGCAGCUCUGGGUUUGUAAACAUGAAGUAGGAGUGGACACCUGCAGAAAUAGGUGUUUAUUUGCGGGGAACAACUUAUUCCAAAGCCUUAUCAGUGUACUAUGGGUCUCAAGAAAGUCACUCACUUACCUUGUAUCUUCUUUGCAGGUGAAUGAUAUCAGCUUGACUAAAGUGUUGCCAAGCCUUCUGUUUCUCAAGUUCCACCAGGGCCCAGGAAAACUGGGACAUUUAUGCCCUAAAAGCAAACAUUCAGCUCAGCUUAAACCAUGGGCCAGAGUUUUCAUAACUAAAGUUUGCUUACAUUCCCUUCCACAGCACCUGGAGUGAUGACCUUCACUAUGCAUUCAUGUUUAACACUCACCACAAACAAUGAGCUAACUGUACAUGCACUUUGUUUUAUACAUGUGGUGGUAAACUUUCAUUUGUUGCAGGCACAUGGUAUGCUUUUAUACGUAAAAGGUUUUUUAUGUACACAUUAAAAAUAUAAUGAACAAAGCAGCCCAGUGAAGGGUAGGUAAAUAUUUCAGAUGAUAUUAUCUCCCUCAAGCUUGGAUUUUCAACAACCUUUUGACAAAGACUCCUGAGCAAAUGGGAGAAGAGAAGAGGUUCACCUAUGGAUUGGUAAAUGCUAAAGUACUGAAAGCAGAGAGAAGAAAUAAAUUGAGAUUUCUCAAAAGGAGGGGUGAAAUCAGUGAGGCUCACCAAAGAUCUGUAUUGGGACCAGUGCUUGUUCGAAACUCAUUUGGAGUUAGGGGUGAACAGUGAGCUGGCCAAGUUUGCUAAUGAGACCAAAUGAUUCAGGAUGGUAGAAACAAAAAGAAUCUUACUCAAACACUGGGACCAGAUCAGCCACUCCAGCUGAGGGCAGCAGGUUAGCUCAGGUGAGACAGUGCAGGUUAUGUGGCACACACAUCUCUGACCUCUACCACCCCACUUCUCCUAAAUCCCCAGCAUCUGGCCUAAUGGUAAGGCUGGACCUAUGUCUGACUCAUAAUCUAGCCUGGUCUCCUGGCACUUGGGAUACAAGUAGAGAAAGUGGAUUGCAGUGUUCCCUGACUAAGGGAACAAUCCCUUGUCAUGAGGAGGCAACAUGGCCUCUCUUCUCCAGCAAGAUAACAUUCCCCUUCCCUUAUCUGAAUCCUCUGCAGUGAACAGAGGCCUCCUUGGCAAUAAAAACUCUUGCUCUGCACUAUAACUGAGGUAACGUGAGUCCAGAACUGUCUCCAGCCUUCUGAAGCACCCUCAACCCAGCCCACUAUGGGAUUAACCUUCUCAGGAGCCCAGAAUGGAAGUCUUUGUUCCUCCUAAGAGUGAAUGCAAAUGCAUUGCACAACAACAUGAGAAGACAACUCCAACGUUCUUGUCAUUAGUGACUGAAGCCAUUGUUCCACUCUUGCCUGGCCUGACCUCUUCCAGUCUGGAGCCAGCCUUGCAUCACCAUUUAGACUUUGCACUCCGGCUGCAACGGAGAGCUCUCUCGCAGCGCAGCAAGCCAUAUGGGAAGCUGCACAGCUUCAGGGAACAUACACAAAAGCAAAGGAAAAUAAUAUUCUCUUGUCUGGAGCAAUCUGCUGCUUUUGAAGUGCAGCGAGCUUCUUGGCUCUUUCAUAGGAAGGUGCACUUAAGUGCUUCCCCUCACCGGGCUAUACUUAAAGGCUUAAUUUAUCUUGGUAUUUGAUCCUCUGGUUCCAACCUUCUCUGCACUCCUUCUGUAGUGCUCCUUCUUAUGCUCUACCUGCUGUACUCUGCCUCUCUGUGGGUCAUCCAGGGCUAUGGCUCAUUUCCCCCUUACUUGAUGUUGCUCAGAGACAUAGUUAAUCCUUUGACAUCUUCCUCACAUUGCUAAUGGACUCUGCUCUUUUUUCUUUUGCUCUUCUCUCCAUGCUGAGCAGAGGCCUUGCUGGGGUUCAUCAACACCGUCCUUCCUCCCCCAGUUGAUGCCUCCCAGAUAGGACAUUCAAAUAAGAUAUACUUUUUAACUUCAGUUCAGCUCUGAAACAUGUCUCUUUUGGGGUUUAUGCACUAUAGGAUUUAUAUACUUUUUCUCAUUGAGAUUUUGGGGGUCUGAUACUAUGCAUUUCCUCUCUAUUGCUGCUUGUUUAAUUUGCAGUUUAUUUAUUUAUUUAUUAUUGUAUUUUUUAAUGAUGUCAGCUGUCUUGGGGGUCUCACUGUGUGAGGCAAAAAGGAUAUAAAUAUUUCAAUAAAUAAAAGUUCAUUUUGAGAGUCAUUUUCUAAAGUGCAUUUCUCUUUGGGUGUAUUUUUUUCAUUUACUUUAUUUGAAAACCUUGGGAAAACAGGAUGAUAAAAUAAGUUUCUUCCCCCUCAUCUCCUUCCUUCCCUUCCCUUAUCUACUUAAUUUAGUUUUCUGGAAGAACUGAGCAUGUCUGCAUGUAUACUCCAGAACUAUCCCACAAACAGAUCCCUAUUUUAUCCACACACUUUCUAAUCCCGAAAGAGCUGGUGAUACAACACGUCCUAUUACACUCAGAGAUGUGGCAUUCUUUCUCAUGCAGGCCAUGAUAAAGAAGUUCAACAUCUGCAGAGUAAAACUAGAGGGAUCCAGCCAACUCUAGGCAAGAGUUGUUGCUAAUUAUAAAUUUAUUUAGGAUACUCACUGCUUCACAUAGUUCUUUAUGCAAUUAUAC